CAUCCCUCAGGAGGGGCUUUGAGUUACUUCAUGGAUGGGUCCCGGGCAAAAUGACCCUAGCAGGACCUAAGGAACAGGCUUGCAAACCUGCAGAUCUCUGGCCCUCACCUACCCGAAGCGCCUGAUAACGUAAAGUCUGCAGCCACCCAGGCUUGGGGCGCAAGUGACCCGGAGAGUUUUGAAGUCCUCUGCUUCGGAAAGCGCGCAUCAGUGAGCGGGCUCUUCCGCGGAGCCAAAUAGGCCCGGAUUCCCACCAUGUCACGAUGGAGCCCAGGACGCUUCCUCUCUGUGGUUCAGUCCAGACACGGGGCUCGCAAGGCCUGCCGGGACGGCCGGACUUCCGGACUUCCGGUCCUCGCUGAGGCCAGACUUUGCGUGGGGCUGUGGGGAGGCGCGGACACAGACCUGAACUAGGAGCGGCUGCUGUAGUGCGAGAGGGGUCCUCUGAGCUUUUACAAAACAGUACUACAGCAAGUGCGGAGUGUGAGUCACACCUUCCUCGGCGUUGUGAGAAUGAAAUAACAGCUCUACCAAGGUGCCAAAUAUUUCCCUCCUCAUUGGGCCUCUUGAUUAUUAUUGACUUGAAAGAGUUGCUUCGGUUGUUGACUUUCAAGUGCUGCAGGCAGACCCUUAAGCCACCAGUCAUUUAUAAAGAGCCAAUGAAAGACAAAGAUAUAAUUACCAGCUUGUGUGAAGACAUGCCUUUCUCCUUCCGUUCUUGUUUAAAGUUAGCUGAACCAAUGCCACUUUCAAAUGCACAGAUUAUUCCCAUUCAAAAGGCUACAAAUUCAUGA
rnacentral:lncRNA from 1 species